GCCUAAAGCGUCCGUAGCCUGCUGCAUAAGUUUUCGGUUAAAUCCAUACGCUCAACGUAUGGGCUGCCGAAAAUACUGUAGAACUAGGGAGUGGGAGAGGUAGACGGUAUUCGGUAGGAAGGGGUAAAAUCCUUUGAUCUAUUGAGGACCACCUGUGGCGAAGGCGGUCUACCAGAACACGUUCGACGGUGAGGGAUGAAAGCUGGGGGAGCAAACCGGAUUAGAUACCCGGGUAGUCCCAGCUGUAAACUAUGCAAACUCAGUGAUGCAUUGGCUUGUGGCCAGUGCAGUGCCGCAGGGAAGCCGUUAAGUUUGCCGCCUGGGAAGUACGUACGCAAGUAUGAAACUUAAAGGAAUUGGCGGGGGAGCACCACAAGGGGUGAAGCCUGCGGUUCAAUUGGAGUCAACGCCAGAAAUCUUACCCGGAGAGACAGCAGAAUGAAGGUCAAGUUGAAGCCUUUACCAGACAAGCUGAGAAGUGGUGCAUGGCCGUCGCCAGCUCGUGCCGUGAGGUGUCCUGUUAAGUCAGGUAACGAGCGAGAUCCUUGCCUCUAGUUGCCACCAUUACUCUCAGGAGUAGUGGGGCGAAUUAGCGGGACUGCCGUAGUUAAUACGGAGGAAGGAGAGGGCCACGGCAGGUCAGUAUGCCCCGAA
rnacentral:rRNA from 1 species